CACACGAGAAUUAAAACAAACUAAACAAUAGUGUAAGCAAAUCUGCAGAAAUGCAGUCACAGCGAAUCAAACAAUCCAAGCUUCAAUUCUUCAUUAAUCGAUUUCAAAUAAGUUUUUCAUAUCAAUUUAGUUCCAGCACCUGGACUCUGGAAACAUACCUGAAAAUUGGAACACAAGUAAGGAAAGGAAGAGAUCAGAUUGCAAACAGCAGUAUUCAACGAGUGCAAUAGCAAUUCAAACCAGGCUCGAGCUCAGAAUUGUUUUGAAAAUUCAACAGUAUCAAUAUAACAGCCAAACAAUACCAAAUACUCGAAACUAAGACCAGAAAUCAGUGGAUCUAAUCAGUUAACCCAUGACUGAUUCAAACUUGUCUUCACACUUCAAAUGUUCGAACAAAAUUAAGGAAUUCAAGUAGUUCCUAAUCUUAACUAAGCUAAAAUGUUGAUUAAAAACUGAACCUUUGAAAAUGAUCUAGGGAGGAGCCAUGUAACAGUUUUUCUUUGAUUUUUCUGGUUUUUUUUGUUUUUUUUUUUUGCUUUCUGGAUUUUUCUAUUGCUUUUGGGGUUUUGGAGUUUGAAUUUCAGGUCUUAUAUCUGAAAAUUAGAGAGCAUACUUUGGGAGGAUUUCUG
rnacentral:lncRNA from 1 species